GAAAUCGUACUUCACAGGAUCUUUUCUGUAGUAUGUUUUUCUAUGUGUUGACACAAAGUCAAUCACACCAAAGCGGUGAGGAUUAGAUACGGCCUCCCUUCCUGAGCGUGAAGACGCGUUUCAAUUCCCUUUGUGGAGUUGUUCGCUUGAUGACCGCCAGGAGGACUCUUUUGCCCUCUGAUGGAGGGGAGGCGUUAUGAGCCGU
rfam:Parastrongyloides trichosuri strain KNP genome assembly, scaffold: PTRK_scaffold0000052